rnacentral:rRNA from 1 species
CGCUGAGUUUGAUCCUGGCUCAGGAUGAACGCUAGCGGCAGGCCUAAUACAUGCAAGUCGAACGGUCACGCAGUAAUGCGUGAUAGUGGCGCACGGGUGCGUAACACGUAUGCAACCUACCUUAUACUUAGGGAUAGCCUUUGGAAACGGAGAUUAAUACUUAAUGGUAUAUUUAGCUGGCAUCGGUUAGAUAUUAAAGAUUUAUUGGUAUAAGAUGGGCAUGCGUCCAAUUAGUUAGUUGGUGAGGUAACGGCUCACAAGACGAUGAUUGGUAGGGGAACUGAGAGGUUAAUCCCCCGACACUGGCACUGAGAUACGGGCCAGACUCUACGGGGAGCAGCAGUAGGGAAUAUUGCACGAAUGGGGCGAAAGCCUGAUGCAGCAACGCGCGUGA